CGGCGAGGGACUUUGCGCGCGGAGGAAAGGGUGCAGAGUAUCCGAGAAGCCUCCUGCGAGCUCCUCGCCGACGACUCGAAGGUGUGGCGGUUCCUUCGCGUCCCGGGCUCUGCUCUGCGCGCUUCGCCCGUUUGCAGCGGCUCCUCUGGAGCUGGGCCUCCGCCGCCUGCUGCCCGCGUGGGCUUGAAGGGUGCCUCCGCACUAAGCCUUGAUGGAGUAGGAAGCACAAGGAAUCCAUCUCUCUACCUAGACAACAGUUGUACUGGCAGAAACUGUCUGAAGUAACUCUGGAGUCUGUUUGAAUUCUUGCACCUUCCAGGAGAAAGUUUGGUUGGUAAAUUGAGGCAUUUUUAAAAUAUUUAAUCAUUCAUGAGUUGAGCUUCAUUCUUGAGUCAUGGAUGACAAGGCUUCUGUUGGAAAAAUCAGUGUCUCCUCAGACUCAGUAUCUACUCUUAAUAGUGAAGAUUUUGUCUUGGUUUCCAGGCAAGGAGAUGAGACACCAUCUACAAAUAAUGGAAGUGAUGACGAGAAGACAGGACUCAAGAUUAUAGGGAAUGGAAGUGAGCAGCAGCUGCAAAAAGAGCUAGCAGAUGUGCUGAUGGAUCCUCCAAUGGACGACCAGCCAGGGGACAAGGAACCUGUGGAAAGGUCACAACUGGAUGGUGAAGGAGAUGGACCUCUUUCUGACCAACUCUCAGCUUCGUCCACCAUUAACCCUGUGCCGUUAGUAGGGCUCAAAAAACCAGAGAUGAGCUUGCCAGUGAAACCUGGACAAGGAGAUUCUGAAGGGUCAAGUCCUUUCACACCAGCUGCUGAUGAGGACAGUGUAGUUUUUAGCAAACUAACUUAUUUAGGCUGUGCCUCAGUAAAUGCUCCCAGGAGUGAAGUGGAAGCCUUAAGGAUGAUGUCCAUCUUAAGAAGCCAGUGUCAGAUUUCACUAGAUGUAACCCUGUCAGUGCCGAAUGUAUCUGAAGGAACUGUGAGACUCUUAGAUCCUCAGACAAACACUGAAAUAGCAAACUACCCUAUCUACAAAAUCCUGUUUUGUGUCAGAGGGCAUGACGGAACUCCCGAGAGUGACUGUUUUGCUUUCACUGAAAGUCAUUACAAUGCAGAGCUCUUCAGAAUACACGUCUUCCGGUGCGAAAUACAAGAAGCUGUAAGCCGGAUACUUUACAGUUUUGCCACUGCCUUCCGCCGUUCCGCCAAGCAGACCCCACUUUCAGCAACUGCUGCACCCCAAACUCCUGACAGUGACAUCUUUACCUUCUCUGUGUCUUUAGAAAUAAAAGAAGAUGAUGGUAAAGGUUACUUUAGUGCAGUUCCUAAAGAGAAGGACAGACAGUGCUUUAAACUUCGCCAAGGAACUGAUAAGAAGAUUGUCAUCUAUGUGCAACAAACAACUAAUAAAGAACUGGCCAUUGAAAGGUGUUUUGGUCUUCUCCUUAGCCCAGGAAAAGAUGUACGAAAUAGUGACAUGCACUUGUUAGAUUUGGAAUCUAUGGGCAAAAGUUCGGAUGGAAAGUCCUAUGUUAUCACUGGGAGCUGGAAUCCAAAAUCUCUACCUUUUCAAGUUGUAAAUGAAGAAACUCCUAAAGAUAAAGUGCUGUUUAUGACCACAGCUGUUGAUUUGGUAAUAACAGAAGUACAGGAGCCUGUUCGAUUUCUCAUAGAGACAAAAGUCCGUGUUUGCUCACCUAAUGAAAGAUUAUUCUGGCCCUUCAGCAAACGUAGUACUACUGAAAAUUUCUUUUUGAAACUAAAACAGAUAAAGCAGAAGGAGAGAAAGAACAAUACUGACACUUUAUAUGAAGUUGUGUGCUUGGAAAGUGAAUCAGAGAGAGAGAGGAGGAAAACUACAGCCAGUCCCUCAGUUCGCCUGCCACAGUCUGGAUCUCAGAGUUCAAUGAUACCUUCUCCUCCAGAAGAUGAUGAAGAGGAAGAUAAUGAUGAACCUCUCUUGAGUGGAUUUGGUGAUGUAUCCAAAGAAUGUGCAGGAAAAAUUCUUGAAACAUGGGGAGAACUUCUGUCAAAAUGGCAUCUCAACUUGAGUGUGAGACCAAAGCAGUUGUCAUCCUUAGUAAGGAGCGGUGUUCCUGAAGCUCUGCGAGGAGAAGUCUGGCAGCUGCUAGCAGGUUGUCACAACAACGACCACCUGGUAGAAAAAUACCGAAUUCUCAUUACAAAGGAGUCUCCCCAGGACAGUGCUAUCACUCGGGAUAUUAACCGGACAUUCCCAGCUCAUGACUAUUUUAAGGACACAGGAGGAGAUGGACAAGAUUCCUUAUAUAAAAUAUGCAAGGCAUAUUCUGUGUAUGAUGAAGAGAUUGGCUAUUGCCAGGGCCAGUCAUUUCUCGCUGCUGUUCUGCUUCUCCAUAUGCCUGAAGAACAGGCAUUCAGUGUUCUGGUCAAGAUCAUGUUUGACUAUGGUCUCAGGGAACUUUUCAAGCAAAACUUUGAAGAUUUACAUUGCAAAUUUUACCAGUUGGAGCGCCUCAUGCAGGAAUACAUCCCUGACCUGUACAACCACUUCCUGGAUAUAAGCCUUGAGGCGCACAUGUAUGCCUCCCAGUGGUUUCUUACACUUUUCACUGCAAAAUUCCCUCUCUACAUGGUCUUCCAUAUCAUUGACCUGCUUUUAUGUGAGGGAAUAAGUGUGAUUUUUAAUGUCGCCCUUGGAUUAUUAAAGACUUCUAAGGAUGACUUGCUGUUGACAGACUUUGAAGGUGCCUUGAAGUUCUUCAGGGUUCAGCUUCCUAAGAGAUACCGCUCAGAAGAAAAUGCAAAAAAACUAAUGGAAUUAGCUUGCAGCAUGAAGAUUAGUCAGAAGAAGUUGAAAAAAUAUGAAAAAGAGUAUCACACCAUGAGGGAACAGCAGGCCCAACAAGAAGACCCUAUCGAGCGAUUUGAGCGGGAGAACCGGCGUCUACAAGAAGCUAACAUGAGGUUGGAACAGGAAAACGAUGACUUAGCCCAUGAGCUGGUGACCAGCAAGAUUGCGCUGCGGAAGGACCUGGAUAACGCUGAAGAGAAGGCAGAUGCACUCAAUAAGGAGCUGCUUAUGACCAAACAGAAGUUGAUUGAUGCUGAAGAAGAGAAAAGACGGCUGGAAGACGAGUCCGCUCAGUUAAAAGAAAUGUGUCGUCGGGAACUUGACAAAGCAGAAUCUGAGAUUAGAAAAAACAGUUCUAUCAUUGGUGACUACAAGCAGAUUUGUUCUCAGUUGAGUGAAAGAUUGGAAAAGCAGCAGACAGCUAAUAAAGUGGAAAUUGAGAAAAUCCGGCAAAAAGUGGAUGACUGUGAGCGCUGCCGGGGAUUUUUCAACAAAGAAGGUCGCAUAAAGGGCAUGAGCUCAGCUAAGGAAGUUUUAGAUGAGGACACAGAUGAAGAGAAGGAGACACUCAAAAACCAGCUGAGAGAGAUGGAACUGGAGCUGGCGCAGACCAAGCUGCAGUUGGUGGAGGCCGAGUGUAAGAUCCAGGCCCUGUUCUAGGUGCUGGGGUUGCAAAGCUAAGACUUGGCUUGUGUGACUGUCCAGGACAAUCAGGAAAAGCACCACCAAGGCAGCAGUAUGUGAGCUGUGGUCAAAGAAUGAACAAGGGUUGCAGCUGCAGAAGCGAAAGAACAGUGAGCAUUCCUGGUGGAGGGAGCGGCAUGCUGAGCAGCAGAGGGAGGAGUGGGCCUGCCCAAGAAGGAGUGUCAGGAAGUUAGGGGUGGAGGACCUGGAGCACCAUUUAGGCCUUGCCCUAAAUGAGGUACAGGCUGCCAAGAAGACGUGGUUUAACCGAACACUGAGCUCCAUAAAGACAGCAACGGGGGUUCAAGGGAAAGAGACUUGCUGAGUGAAGCGGCUGCCUCCAGACACCGUCAGAAAACACGACACCUUUUGUUGCCUUCUUUGGCCAGAUGUGUGAUUCUGUGACGUGUCCCAGGACCAGGAUGUAUCUAAGUCAGAUCCGUAGAAGCAUGUUGGUAGGUCAUUGGACCAGAGCUCGUGAAGCAGGCAGCCUCUGGGGUAAGGCUCCCCUAACUACUGAUGCUGACAGGCCUGCUGGCUGUAUGACGCUCUGGACGCGUUCUGGGAAACCAUCCUCGGUGUGAGCUGCCAGGCCUCUCUCCCUGGUGGGGGUCACGACCUCACGCAGCCCAAGGACUGAGUUGACAGUGUCAGAGUUUGGGGAUCCUUCAGGCUUUUGGUUUUUUUCUAAACCUUUAAUCUUUUUUUUUUUUAAUAUACAUAUUAUAUGUAUUGCCGGGGGGGGUGCCAGGGGAUCAGUAACUCAGUUCUUCUCUACUUCAGUGCCAGCAUAGGGUCCUCCAGGUAGACAUGGAGAAGCACUUUGUUUUCAAUAGGAGGGUUUCCUGAUUGUAGUCGCAGCCACCUAGUUUUGUUAAACUACACGAUGCACAGGUUUUGGGUUUGGCAUUAUUCACGUUUCUGAUCAAUUCUAUGCAACUCUCGUAGUUCCUGUUGUUCUUUAGUGUUAGCUGCCAAAACUUCACGGGGCUGGGCUGGGGGACUUGACUGACGUGAGACAGGAUUAAUCAUAACAUGGACAAAUCUUAUUUUGCUUCAUGUGUCGUGUGUGUGUGUGUGUGUGUGUGUGUAUAUAUAUAUAAAUAUCUUUUCCCAGUGCGCCCAACUGACAGUGUUUAAAUCCCAGACUAAGACUCAUCUGCACAAGGUAAUUAUGUGGAUAUCUGGGCACUUGAUCUCACUCCGGGUUUGUCGGGUUCCCCUUCUUCCCUGCCCUCACAAGAGCUGGGAAAUGUUCCCUCACUAAAAGGUUCCUAGUGUUUUUGCACAACAGGUCAUACAAGCGAGAAAGACACUGCACUGUGUGUGUGUGUUUGUGUAAACGCAUGUGCGGGAUGAGCGUGCCGAGGCCCCGUCCUGCUGGCCCGUGUCCCUCCCCAGAGUGUGGCUGGGUGCAGACCUCGCUAUUCAGAUGGACUGCAGGUUCUCACUUCAAAACUAUGGAAUGGAGGUUUUAGCACCUUUAAAAAAAUAAAAUAAAAUAAAUAACCUAGUCUUUUAACUUAUAUAGCGGUAUGCUGACAGGCUGGCGCCGGGGGUCUCGUGUCUGCACGCGGGGCGCAGGAGCUGUUCUAAGAGGCACUGGUCUGUGUAUAAAGAGACUUGGCUUGUUUUGUAUCUCUUUUCCCGGUGGCUGGCCUAGCGCUUGCUGAGGUCAUCUGUGAUAAGGGAGGUGACAAGCGGCAACCCCCCCCCCCCCACCACACCCUCCACCGCUUUGUGUCUUUCUUGUUCAGUUACCGAAACAGCUGUAAGCCCAUCUAAAACUAGGUGCGUGGACAUUGUGCUAGGGUAGUUCCAGUGUGUCAACUUUAUGAAUUGAAAUAUAAACCAGUAAAAUUGUAUUACUAUUCCUUUGGUUGGUUUUAUUUUAACAGCAUAUUCAUUAAAUAUUUUGGUACAAAGAGCA